rnacentral:tRNA from 1 species
GGAGUUGUGGCUUAAUGGUACAGCACUUGCCUAGCAUGCGUGAGGCACUGGGUUCAAUCCCCAGCACCA